CGGGGGUUGGCGCAGUUUGGCUAGCGCGCUUGAAUGGGGUUCAAGAGGUCGAGAGUUCAAGUCUCUCACCCCCGA
rnacentral:tRNA from 1 species